CUGAGACCGACCAGGAGAUAAGAAGGUGGCCUUCAGCCCAGCAGCUCAGGUGCUCCCGGCCUUGAUGGCCCGAGGACACCCGGAUGCGGACAGGGCUGGGCCUCUGGGGGCAGGUGACAGCCGUGGGCGACCUGGGAGGGCCUGUAGCCUCCGCUCCCCACUCCGCUCCCCACUCUGCCACAGGCCUCGCCCCGCCAGCCGCCUCCCCGCUCCCUCCCACUAAGGCUGGUCUCCUGGGCCAGCCUCAGUCCCUGGCCGGCUGGGUCCCCCUCCCACGCGGGUCUCCCCUGGACUUUGGGGACCCAGCUUGGGGCUGCCUUCUCCUGCGGAUUGAAUUCCUUCCUCCUGGGAAGAGGAGCAGGAAGGCUGAAGAUAGCGCCGAGCAGCAGGUCUGCUGCCAGCCAGGAGGCCCAGGUGACGCAGCUUGUCGCCAGCGUCCGGGCUCGGGCUCGGGCUCCGGGCUGGGGGUGCCCUGGAGGGGGGGCGGGCUCUGAGGAGCCUCGGUCUGUUGGCGGGCUGGGGUCACAUGCCAGGCGCUCCGGCCGCCCCGGGGCCGAGAAACUGUGGCCGCCACCCGCUCCUGGCCGCGGCCUGCGGGUCAGGCGGAUCCGGGCGCUGUGGGAGCAGCUGUCUCUAGGAACCAGAACAGGGACGGCCACGAAAGGAAGCCACUCCCUGGAGGCUUGGGGUUUUUUUAAAGAUUUUAUUUAUUUAUUCACGAGAGACACAGAGAGAGGCAGACAUGCAGGCAGAGGGAGAAGCAGGCUCCGUGCAGGGGCCCGACGCGGGGCUCGAUCCCGGGACCCGGGUCACGGCCUGGGCCGCCCACCGCCAAGCCCCCCGACGCCCCCCCAGUCCUCCGCCCGGCUGGUGAAGGCUGGCGCCUCUGGAUCACCCGGUCCCCACGAGCCCCCCUCCCGCCCUCCCAGGGGCCGGGUCUGCGCACAGCUCGCGUUUCUGCCCUCGAGUCGCGGUCGCAGUGUUCCCGCACGUGCUGUCACGAGAGGCGGCCAUAGCCACCCUGGGCCGGGGUGCCGGACCGUUCACGGGGCUUGCUGGCAGCCAGUGGGAGCUGCCCCGUGUCGCCGCACAGUGACACCCGUCCAGCCGGGCCCUUCCGCAGGGCUGGACAACAACCGGGUGUGUGUCGGUGGCGCGGGGGCCACGAGUGUGUGACCGGCUGGGCGCCAGAGCAGGGGUCGUGACGCGGGCAGCUGGGGCAGGCCUGCGGCCCCUCGAACCCCCCCCCCACCUGGACAGGAGGAGGUGCACCUGCC
rnacentral:lncRNA from 1 species